UACGUAGGGUGCAAGCGUUGUCCGGAAUUAUUGGGCGUAAAGAGCUCGUAGGCGGUUCGUCGCGUCGGCUGUGAAAACCCGGAGCUCAACUCCGGGCCUGCAGUCGAUACGGGCGGACUUGAGUGUUGCAGGGGAGACUGGAAUUCCUGGUGUAGCGGUGAAAUGCGCAGAUAUCAGGAGGAACACCCGUGGCGAAGGCGGUUCUCUGGGACGGUACUGACGCUGAGACGCGAAAGCGUGGGGAGCGAACAGG
rnacentral:rRNA from 1 species